rnacentral:rRNA from 1 species
UACGUAGGGGCUAGCGUUGUCCGGAAUCAUUGGGCGUAAAGCGCGUGUAGGCGGUCCGGUAAGUCCGCUGUGAAAGUCGGGGGCUCAACCCUCGAAUGCCGGUGGAUACUGUCGGGCUAGAGUACGGAAGAGGCGAGUGGAAUUCCUGGUGUAGCGGUGAAAUGCGUAGAUAUGUGGAGGAAUACCGAUGGCGAAGGCAGCCCCCUGGGAUAACACUGACGCUCAUGCACGAAAGCCGUGGGGAGCAAACAGG